GAUGAACGCUAGCGGCAGGCUUAACACGUGCAAGUCGAGGGGUAACAUAGAAAAGCUUGCUUUUCUGAUGACGACCGGCGCACGGGUGCGUAACGCGUAUACAACCUACCUUUUAGCGGGGAAUAGCCCAGGGAAACUUGGAUUAAUGCCCCAUAGUAUAUAGACUUCUCCUGAAGUUUAUAUUAAACAUUUAUGGCUAUUAGAUGGGUAUGCGUCCUAUUAGUUAGUUGGUAAGGUAACGGCUUACCAAGGCAGCGAUAGGUAGGGGUCCUGAGAGGGAGAUCCCCACACUGGUACUGAGACACGGACCAGACUCCUACGGGAGGCAGCAGUGAGGAAUAUUGGACAAUGGGCGAGAGCCUGAUCCAGCCAUGCCGCGUGCAGGAAGACUGCCCUAUGGGUUGUAAACUGCUUUUACAGAGGAAGAACCACCCCCACGUGUGGGGGUUUGACGGUACUCUGCGAAUAAGGAUCGGCUAACUCCGUG
rnacentral:rRNA from 1 species